GAUUAACGCUGGCGGCGUGCCUGACACAUGCAAGUCGAACGGGCGAAGGGCUUCGGCCCCUAGCUAGUGGCGGACGGGUGAGUAACACGUGAGGAACCUACCCUCAAGUGGGGAAUAACUGCCAGAAAUGGCAGCUAAUACCGCAUGUGGUUGUCUGAGGACAUCCUCGGACACCUAAAGAUUUAUCGCUUGAGGACGGCCUCGCGGCCUAUUAGCUUGUUGGUGGGGUAAUGGCCUACCAAGGCGAUGAUGGGUAGCUGGUCUGAGAGGACGACCA
rnacentral:rRNA from 1 species